rnacentral:rRNA from 1 species
GACGAACGCUGGCGGCGUGCUUAACACAUGCAAGUCGAACGGAAAGGCCCUGCUUUUGUGGGGUGCUCGAGUGGCGAACGGGUGAGUAACACGUGAGUAACCUGCCCUUGACUUUGGGAUAACUUCAGGCAACUGGGGCUAAUACCGGAUAGGAGCUCCUGCUGCAUGGUGGGGGUUGGAACGUUUCGGCGGUUGGGGAUGGACUCGCGGCUUAUCAGCUUGUUGGUGGGGUAGUGGCUUACCAAGGCUUUGACGGGUAGCCGGCCUGAGAGGGUGACCGGCGACAUUGGGACUGAGAGACGGCCCAGACUCCUACGGGAGGCAGCAGUGGGGAAUAUUGCACAAUGGGCGGAAGCCUGAUGCAGCAACGCCGCGUGCGGGAUGACGGCCUUCGGGGUGUAAACCGCUUUCGCCUGUGACGAAGCGUGAGUGACGGUAAUGGGUAAAGAAGCACCGGCUAACUACGUG